rnacentral:rRNA from 1 species
UGGGGAAUAUUGGACAAUGGGCGAAAGCCUGAUCCAGCCAUGCCGCGUGUGUGAAGAAGGUCUUCGGAUUGUAAAGCACUUUAAGUUGGGAGGAAGGGCAGUAAGCGAAUACCUUGCUGUUUUGACGUUACCGACAGAAUAAGCACCGGCUAACUCUGUGCCAGCAGCCGCGGUAAUACAGAGGGUGCAAGCGUUAAUCGGAAUUACUGGGCGUAAAGCGCGCGUAGGUGGUUCGUUAAGUUGAAUGUGAAAGCCCCGGGCUCAACCUGGGAACUGCAUCCAAAACUGGCGAGCUAGAGUAGGGCAGAGGGUGGUGGAAUUUCCUGUGUAGCGGUGAAAUGCGUAGAUCUAGGAAGGAACACCAGUGGCGACGGCGACCACCUGGGCUCAUACUGACACUGAGGUGCGAAAGCGUGGGGAGCAAACAGG